UAAGACUGGUCACUACGUUGUCGGAUGC
rnacentral:sRNA from 1 species